AGUCACCAACAUAUUCAAUAAUUUAACCAAGUGCAAUCGACCUAAUUCAUGUAGUAGUUUACUAUAAACUGCCCAUAUGAAUUGAUAAGAAAUUACAGGAUCAAAUUCAUUUGCAAUUUCUUAUGCAUGAUCGAGCUUCUCAAGCUCAUCCAAGCACUUAAUCAUUAUCAAACAAUGAUCACGAACUGAUUGUCUUUUGGUCAAUUAUCAAACGGUUUGGUAAUA
rnacentral:lncRNA from 1 species